rnacentral:pre_miRNA from 1 species
AUGACCUAUGAAUUGACAGCCAGUCCUCCUACUCCUUCCUGGCUGUCAGUUCUGUAGGGCACAA